rnacentral:rRNA from 1 species
CUUAGGGAGGAGCUUGCGUCACAUUAGUUAGUUGGUGGGGUAAAGGCCUACCAAGACUAUGAUGUGUAGCCGGGCUGAGAGGUUGAACGGCCACAUUGGGACUGAGACACGGCCCAAACUCCUACGGGAGGCAGCAGUAGGGAAUUUUCGGCAAUGGAGGAAACUCUGACCGAGCAACGCCGCGUGAACGAUGAAGUAUUUCGGUACGUAAAGUUCUUUUAUUAGGGAAGAAUAAAUGAUGGAAAAAUCAUUCUGACGGUACCUAAUGAAUAAGCCCCGGCUAACUAUGUGCCAGCAGCCGCGGUAAUACAUAGGGGGCAAGCGUUAUCCGGAAUUAUUGGGCGUAAAGGGUGCGUAGGCUGUUAAAUAAGUUUAUGGUCUAAGUGCAAUGCUCAACAUUGUGAUGCUAUAAAAACUGUUUAGCUAGAGUAAGAUAGAGGCAAGUGGAAUUCCAUGUGUAGUGGUAAAAUGCGUAAAUAUAUGGAGGAACACCAGUAGCGAAGGCGGCUUGCUGGGUCUUUACUGACGCUGAGGCACGAAAGCGUGGGGAGCAAACAGGAUUAGAUACCCUGGUAGUCCACGCCGUAAACGAUGAGUACUAAACGUUGGGUAAAACCAGUGUUGAAGUUAACACAUUAAGUACUCCGCCUGAGUAGUACGUACGCAAGUAUGAAACUUAAAGGAAUUGACGGGACUCCGCACAAGCGGUGGAUCAUGUUGUUUAAUUCGAAGGUACCCGAAAAACCUCACCAGGUCUUGACAUGCUUCUGCAAAGCUGUANAAACACAGUGANGUUAUCAGUUGCACAGGUGGUGCAUGGUUGUCGUCAGCUCGUGUCGUGAGAUGUUGGGUUAAGUCCCGCAACGAGCGCAACCCUUAUUGNUAGUUGCCAGCACGUAAUGGUGGGGACUUUANCA